rnacentral:misc_RNA from 1 species
GGUUAAAAAAAAAAAUUCUUAAAAGUUUGUUAAUACUUAAUUAUAUUAUCAGCCUUCUGUAGCUGAAGACUACAAAACGACUUGUAGACAUCUGGAAAAUAAUGACACUAAUAUGUGUAAAAUGGUAUUAAAAACCUUACAAAUGAAUCCAAGAAAUUGGACUUCAUGAUCAUCAGCACAACACCAGUUACACCAGCAAUUUAAUCCCCUUGAGCAUCCAAAGUAAUUAAUUAACCCAGAACAGAAAAGGAAUUCCCAUAUUCAAGAACAGGUUAUUUAUGAUCUUCAUGAAUCGAUCUUGAUGGAGGAGGGGCAAAUCUUGAAGAGAACCCACGAUAUAUGCCAUCCUCAUUAUCAUCAUGCCAACAGCCCUCAUCAAAAUUUUGUGCAUAGCUUAAAGGGUCGUACCUAAAACCACCAACUGGUCUUGGUUGCCUAUUGGCUCUUGUAAAAAUUGAUGCUAUGUUCCAACCUACCCUUCUGUGCCUUGUGUUCGUUGGGAUGUUGUUGUUGUUGCUGCUGCUGC